UAUUAUAGCAAAGAGGAUACACCUGUUCCCAUUCCGAACACAGAAGUUAAGCUCUUUAGCGCCGAUGGUACUUGGUGGGAAGCUGCCUGGGAGAGUAGGACGUAGCCGCGUAGUCUUUUUUUAUUUUUUGGAAAUUAAAUUUUAGGUAUAAGUAUAGUUUUUUUAGAAUAUAUAAUUUAAAAAAUAAAAUUAAAUAUAUUGAUUAAAAACUUUUUAUUCGACGAUAAUAUUAAUAAAUAAAUGUAUUUAAAACUAAAUUUUAUUUGCAAUUUUAAUAUAUAAAAAAACCUUAAGAAGUAUAUUUAGAGUAGUAAAAAAUAUGGAAUUUUGUAAAAUUUAGUUUUUAUAGGAGGAAAAUUUAUCCUCUUGUAGAAUUAAAUAUAUAAAUAAUUAAUAAUCUUAUAGGAAGUGGUUUGAAUGAGUAAAUCUGUUACUAAGGUAGUUAAUUUAUAUGAAUAUAAGUCAGCGAAAAAAGAAAAGGAAAUAGAUAGAGAACAAUUAUUAAAAUUAAUAAAAAAAAUUAUGAUAACUAAAUAAAGGAGCUAUGCUCCUUUAUUUUUAUUGCAUUCUAAGUGUACUUAUAUAAUCUUGAAAUUGAUUAAAAUCAUCAUCAUUUGUUAACUCUAUCACUUCAGAUUUUUCACUAUCAAAAUUUUUUAAAUAAAUGGUAUGUGUACUACUUUCAGAAUUGCAAUAUAUACAUCUAAAUCCAUCCUCAUAAAGACCUUUUAUAUGGUUGAAAUCUGGCAUAACUAACAACUCCUUGUAAAAGUAUUUUUAUAUAGUUUUCCAAUAAAAAUGUAUUAUAUUCAGUCUAUAUAACUUAUUUAUAAUGGAAUCGUAUUGUUGAAAUUAUAUAAAAAACAAAAAAAUAAAAUUAAAUUUUAAAAAAGUGUUGACGAUGUUAAAUUAAGAUGGUAUAGUAUUACUUGUCCUUAAGAAAAGGGCAAAACAAAAAUGAACUUUGAAAAUUAAACAGUAGGUUAAUUAUAAAAAUUCUUUUUUAAAGAAUUAAACACAAACAACCAAGCCAGAUAUUCAGAUAAUGAUUAGCUGAGCGAUGGACAACUUUUUAAAUUAUAUUUGAGAGUUUGAUCCUGGCUCAGGAUGAACGCUGGCGGCGUGCCUAACACAUGCAAGUCGAGCGAUCUCUUCGGAGAGAGCGGCGGACGGGUGAGUAACGCGUGGGUAACCUGCCCUGUACACACGGAUAACAUACCGAAAGGUAUACUAAUACGGGAUAACAUAUGAAAGUCGCAUGGCUUUUGUAUCAAAGCUCCGGCGGUACAGGAUGGACCCGCGUCUGAUUAGCUAGUUGGUAAGGUAAUGGCUUACCAAGGCAACGAUCAGUAGCCGACCUGAGAGGGUGAUCGGCCACACUGGAACUGAGACACGGUCCAGACUCCUACGGGAGGCAGCAGUGGGAAUAUUGCACAAUGGGCGAAAGCCUGAUGCAGCAACGCCGCGUGAGCGAUGAAGGCCUUCGGGUCGUAAAGCUCUGUCCUCAAGGAAGAUAAUGACGGUACUUGAGGAGGAAGCCCCGGCUAAC
rnacentral:rRNA from 1 species